rnacentral:rRNA from 1 species
GACGAAGGAUGCAAGCGUUAUCCGGAUUCAUUGGGUUUAAAGGGAGCGUAGGUGGCCUUAUAAGUCAGUGGUGAAAUCUCUCGGCUUAACCGAGAAAUUGCCAUUGAUACUGUAGGGCUUGAGUACAGAUGCCGUUGGCGGAAUAUGACAUGUAGUGGUGAAAUACAUAGAGAUGUCAUAGAACACCGAUUGCGAAGGCAGCUGACGAAACUGUAACUGACACUGAGGCUCGAAAGCGUGGGGAUCAAACAGG